ACCCCUGUCUUCUCCAGUCUCUGAACACACUGACUCUAACCAUGGAAUGGCCUUGUAUAUUUCUCUUCCUCCUGUCAGUAACUGAAGGUGUCCCAUCCCAGGUUCAGCUGCAGCAGUCUGGGCCUGAGCUGGUGAAGCCUGGAGCCUCAGUGAAGAUGUCCUGCAAAGCUUCUGGCUACACAUUCAGUAGCUACUGGAUGAACUGGGUAAAGCAGAGGCCUGGACAGGGUCUUGAGUGGAUUGGACAGAUUUAUCCUGGAGAUGGUGAUACUAACUACAAUGAGAAGUUCAAGGGCAAAGCCACACUGACUGCAGACAAAUCCUCCAGCACAGCCUACAUGCAACUCAGCAGCCUGACAUCUGAGGACUCUGCGGUCUAUUUCUGUGCAAGACACAGUGUUGUAAUCACAUCCUGA